rnacentral:tRNA from 1 species
GUCAGUUUGUCCGAGUGGUUAAGGAGUAAGACUUGAAAUCUUAUAGGCUCUGCCUGCACAGGUUCGAACCCUGUAGCUGACG